UGUAAAUUGAUUAGGGCUGGGUCUCAGGGAGUCGCCAGGGCGGAGCAAAUAGCAAUGGCGUCUCUGCUGCUCCUCGCCUCUCUGGGGCUCUGGGACUUGGCGUCCCCCAGUGCCGGCUGCGCGCCAGAGCCUCCCUCGCUUUCCGACCGCUGCAAGGCUGUGCCACCUCUCCCUGUGGGGCCUGGGGCCUCAGAGACCCGCCCCGAGCAAUCCGAUUGAAAAAAAACCUCGCAUCCAAUUGCAGCCCGCCUGGCAUGCGACUGUGUACCUCUGUUUUUGGUGCCUCUGUAGC